rnacentral:misc_RNA from 1 species
AAGUCGUAACAAGGUAACCGUAGGUGAACCUGCGGUUGGAUCAUUAUUGAAAAUCGAUCUUUUAUUAAAACCGGUCUGUUUCCCUCUUUCUCUUUAAAAGACUAUUUAAUAGUUAAAUAGCUAUUAUAACCUUUUGAAGAAAAGUUUUAAGGGAGCAGGUCCACACCCCAAAAACCUUUGUGUGAAUUAGUUUUGUUGUCUUUGCCUGUUCUUCUUUAAAUCUUUUUUUAAAGAAGUCAGGUCUUUUAUAUAAACUCCUAUUUUUUUAGAUUUGUUAGCAAAGUUUUCCUUUGUUAAUCUUUUUUUCUUAUGUUAAAAAGAGAAAUAAAUUAGCAAACAACUUUUGACAACGGAUCUCUUGGUUCUC